rnacentral:rRNA from 1 species
CCUACGGGUGGCAGCAGUGGGGAAUAUUGCGCAAUGGGCGAAAGCCUGACGCAGCGACGCCGCGUGAGGGAUGAAGGUCUUCGGAUCGUAAACCUCUGUCAGCAGGGAAGAACGGUCACUGUGCUAAUCAGCAGUGAAUUGACGGUACCUGCAAAGGAAGCACCGGCUAACUCCGUGCCAGCAGCCGCGGUAAUACGGAGGGUGCGAGCGUUAAACGGAAUUACUGGGCGGAAAGCGCUCGUAGGCGGUAUGUCAAGUCAAGGGGGAAAUCCCCGCGCUCAACGGGGGAACUGCCUUUGAAACUGGCAAACUGGAGUGUGUGAGAGGAUGGUGGAAUUCCAGGUGUAGGAGUGAAAUCCGUAGAUAUCUGGAGGAACAUCAGUGGCGAAGGCGACUAUCUGGCACAUAACUGACGCUGAGGAGCGAAAGCGUGGGUAGCAAACAGGAUUAGAUACCCUAGUAGUC